CGAUAUAUACAUGAUUGAAUGAUUGUUAGUGUUUUUGGAUAUCUUGAUAUAAUUGUGAUAUCACAAAAGAAUAUUUUACAAUACUGUUUAUACACAAUAUUCAGUCAUAAUGCAUCUUGGUAAUGUUUUGUUAUUUAUAUUCAAAAUAUCGUUCACUUUUUUUGUUCUUUUAAACAACCAUAAUUGGUAUAUUGGCUAUAAAAGGUCGACGCACAUAUCUGUUAUUUCCGCCUACUAGCUUUGCAAUGAAUACCAUUUUGAGCUCUCAUCACCAGUGCCGUUUGUUCCUCCGCGGUGUGGUUUGGGUCGAGCUUCAGUGUAUACCUGAGAGAGAACAAAGGAAUAUCAUGGUAGGAUCUAUGACAGUAUAAUUGUGUUAUAUAGGAUUCAAUACGUUUUUCAUUUUAAUAACUUUCAAGUUUAAGUUACCUACAAAAUGCUUUUAUAUUAGCAAUUGUCCUUGUUGGCUAACCAAUCAUGUCAAUCAUGAAAAUG
rnacentral:lncRNA from 1 species